AUUGAACGCUGGCGGCAGGCCUAACACAUGCAAGUCGAGCGGGGUUUUCGGACCUAGCGGCGGACGGGUGAGUAAUGCGUAGGAAGCUACCCGAUAGAGGGGGAUACCAGUUGGAAACGACUGUUAAUACCGCAUAAUGUCUACGGACCAAAGUGUGGGACCUUCGGGCCACAUGCUAUCGGAUGCGCCUACGUGGGAUUAGCUAGUUGGUGGGGUAAUGGCUCACCAAGGCGACGAUCCCUAGCUGGUUUGAGAGGAUGAUCAGCCACACUGGAACUGGGACACGGUCCAGACUCCUACGGGAGGCAGCAGUGGGGAAUAUUGGACAAUGGGCGCAAGCCUGAUCCAGCCACGCCGCGUGUGUGGAGAAGGCCUUCGGGUUGUAAAGCACUUUCAGUAGGGAGGAAGGGUUAAGUGUUAAUAGUACUUAACUUUGACGUUACCUACAGAAGAAGCACCGGCUAACUCUGUGCCAGCAGCCGCCGUAAAAC
rnacentral:rRNA from 1 species